rnacentral:rRNA from 1 species
GUGUCAGCAGCCGCGGUAAUACGUAGGUGGCGAGCGUUGUCCGGAUUUACUGGGUGUAAAGGGUGCGUAGGCGGAUACUUAAGUCAGAUGUGAAAUACCCGGGCUCAACUUGGGUGCUGCAUUUGAAACUGGAUAUCUAGAGUACAGGAGAGGAAAGCGGAAUUCCUAGUGUAGCGGUGAAAUGCGUAGAGAUUAGGAAGAACACCGGUGGCGAAGGCGGCUUUCUGGACUGUAACUGACGCUGAGGCACGAAAGCGUGGGGAGCAAACAGGAUUAGAUACCCUGGUAGUCCACGCCGUAAACUAUGAAUACUAGGUGUGGGGGAGUGAUACCUCUGUGCCGCAGUCAACGCAUUAAGUAUUCCACCUGGGGAGUACGAUCGCAAGAUUAAA